rnacentral:rRNA from 1 species
GAUGAACGCUGGCGGCGUGCCUAAUACAUGCAAGUCGAGCGAACAGACGAGGAGCUUGCUCCUCUGACGUUAGCGGCGGACGGGUGAGUAACACGUGGAUAACCUACCUAUAAGACUGGGAUAACUUCGGGAAACCGGAGCUAAUACCGGAUAAUGUAUUGAACCGCAUGGUUCAAUAGUGAAAGACGGUUUUGCUGUCACUUAUAGAUGGAUCCGCGCCGCAUUAGCUAGUUGGUAAGGUAACGGCUUACCAAGGCGACGAUGCGUAGCCGACCUGAGAGGGUGAUCGGCCACACUGGAACUGAGACACGGUCCAGACUCCUACGGGAGGCAGCAGUAGGGAAUCUUCCGCAAUGGGCGAAAGCCUGACGGAGCAACGCCGCGUGAGUGAUGAAGGUCUUGGGAUCGUAAAACUCUGUUAUUAGGGAAGAACAAAUGUGUAAGUAACUAUGCACGUCUUGACGGUACCUAAUCAGAAAGCCACGGCUAACUACGUG